UAACAGACUUUUUUAAAAGUCAAAAAUUGAAAAAGAAAAUAAUUA
rfam:Colius striatus contig11251, whole genome shotgun sequence.